UACGGAGGGAGCUAGCGUUGCUCGGAAUUACUGGGCGUAAAGCGCACGUAGGCGGCUAUUCAAGUCAGAGGUGAAAGCCCGGGGCUCAACCCCGGAACUGCCUUUGAAACUAGGUAGCUAGAAUCUUGGAGAGGUCAGUGGAAUUCCGAGUGUAGAGGUGAAAUUCGUAGAUAUUCGGAAGAACACCAGUGGCGAAGGCGACUGACUGGACAAGUAUUGACGCUGAGGUGCGAAAGCGUGGGGAGCAAACAGG
rnacentral:rRNA from 1 species